rnacentral:rRNA from 1 species
UGGGGAAUUUUGGACAAUGGGCGAAAGCCUGACCCAGCAACGCCGCGUGAAGGAUGAAGUAUUUCGGUAUGUAAACUUCGUAAGAAUAGGAAGAAUAAAUGACGGUACUAUUUGUAAGGUCCGGCUAACUACGUGCCAGCAGCCGCGGUAAUACGUAGGGACCAAGCGUUGUUCGGAUUUACUGGGCGUAAAGGGUGCGUAGGCGGUGGCGUAAGUCGAGUGUGAAAUCUUCCGGCCUAACCGGAAAACUGCACUCGAUACUGCGUCACUAGAGGACUGUAGAGGAGACUGGAAUUCACGGUGUAGCAGUGAAAUGCGUAGAUAUCGUGAGGAAGACCGGUGGCGAAAGCGAGUCUCUGGGCAGUUCCUGACGCUGAGGCACGAAGGCUAGGGGAGCAAACGGGAUUAGAUACCCCUCUAGUCCCUGAGCGGGCUGGCAAGGCGCAU